rnacentral:rRNA from 1 species
UAUUGGUCAAUGGUCGGGAGACUGAACCAGCCAAGCCGCGUGAGGGAGGAAGGUACAGAGUAUCGUAAACCUCUUUUGUCAGGGAACAAAGGCGGGGACGUGUCCCCGGAUGAGUGUACCUGAAGAAAAAGCAUCGGCUAACUCCGUGCCAGCAGCCGCGGGAAUACGGAGGAAGCGAGCGUUAGCCGGAUUUAUUGGGUUUAAAGGGCGCGCAGGGGGUCUGUUAAGUCAGGGGUCAAAGCCCGGGUCUCACCCCGGGCCCGCCGUUGAAACUGGCAGUCUCGAGUUGGAGAGAAGUAUGCGGAAUGCGCGGUGUAGCGGUGAAAUGCAUAGAUAUCGCGCAGAACUCCGAUUGCGAAGGCAGCAUGCCGGCUCCACACUGACGCUGAGGCACGAAAGCGUGGGUAUCG